UCCCACUUUCCAUUCCACUACUCCCACCACCAACUUCCACUGCACCUUUCCUUCCACUUAUUCCAUCAACCACCGACUCCCUCACAAUUUUAUAUCACCUUCCCUUUACACCACUAUACCAACUAAAACAUUUUAUAUCAGCUAAGGGAAGCUUUAACUCUGUUUCAAACAAAUCACCACAAUUUAUUCUCACAAGAAAAACGCAGAUGGAGGGCCUUAUUCACCAAAUUCCCUCUUUCAAGAACAGAACUUGAACUUACAAAGUUUUUGUUGCUGCAUGCUUUCACACCACAAGAAGCUUGGUUUUAAAGGACUCUCCCUCAACAGAUCAACAAAUCAGUAUCACAAGGCUUUGUGACCAGGGAGAUUAGCGCUGCUUCCCAAGACAGGUUUAUAUGUGAUUAUGAUCUUCAGGCUUUGCCUAACCAGGUUGAGCAGUUGAUGGAAUGGAAUGAUGUUGAGCGGGUAUUCCUUUGACAUUUCAAGAAAUGUAACCUUGAGGAUACAUCUUCAUAUGUAUAUCUCACACGUUUUUCCGCUGCAAAACACUUUGAUUAGGAUAACUCUAUGUUAUGAAGUUGUGACACGUGUUAUUGGGUAACCCACCUUAAUCAGUUCUCCUUUAUGUGUAUGUGUUAUAAGUAUCCAAAUGAUCAUAUAUGAUCAUAGCUUUUUUAUUUAUGAGUGACAUUUCCAUAUACUUUAAUGUUAAGUAAUUGUCCAUUUCCAUUUCUUAUUGUUCACCCCAAGUCAUAACCCCGGUUAACCCGUCAUUGGGAUAGUGGGCUGUGACAGAGUGGUAUCAGAGCGGUUCGUUCGCUCUGGCCCUAGAAACCUUAUUCUAAAGAGUCGAGUCUAGUUUGAUUCUUUAGACUUACACGGGUUCAUACGGCACCGCUCAACACUCCAUUGCAUCGUGCUCAAUCAA